rnacentral:lncRNA from 1 species
AUGUUUCCAGGUCUCUUGCUGAAGUUUUCUAUGCUAAGAAUGCAAUUUUUUCUUCUCAAUCAGCAUGGAUUGUGUGUUACCAAACCUGAGGUGAUCUUCAAGUUGGAGCAAAGAACAGAGCCAUGGAUGCUAGGAGAAGUCCUAAAUCAGAAACUUUCAGAACAUGUAUGGAGAGGAGGCUUGGGGUCUAAGUCUAAACAUGGACAAGGCCAUGGACAGCCUUCAAGGACAAAAAGAAAGGGAUGCUCCCUAGCUACACAUGAAUUUAUAGUAUUUUCUAAGUGCUUUCUCUGAAUCUUGGCUUUAUAAUUUUAAUUAAAAUAUACUAAUGGAGACAAGUUUGAAUAAAAAAUGAUUCAUAUAUAAUCUGAAUUUGUAU